GAUGAACGCUGGCGGCGUGCCUAAUACAUGCAAGUCGAGCGAACGGACGAGAAGCUUGCUUCUCUGAUGUUAGCGGCGGACGGGUGAGUAACACGUGGGUAACCUACCUAUAAGACUGGGAUAACUUCGGGAAACCGGAGCUAAUACCGGAUAAUAUUUUGAACCGCAUGGUUCAAAAGUGAAAGAUGGUCUUGCUGUCACUUAUAGAUGGAUCCGCGCUGCAUUAGCUAGUUGGUAAGGUAACGGCUUACCAAGGCAACGAUGCAUAGCCGACCUGAGAGGGUGAUCGGCCACACUGGAACUGAGACACGGUCCAGACUCCUACGGGAGGCAGCAGUAGGGAAUCUUCCGCAAUGGGCGAAAGCCUGACGGAGCAACGCCGCGUGAGUGAUGAAGGUCUUCGGAUCGUAAAACUCUGUUAUUAGGGAAGAACAUAUGUGUAAGUAACUGUGCACAUCUUGACGGUACCUAAUCAGAAAGCCACGGCUAACUACGUG
rnacentral:rRNA from 1 species